UACGGAGGGUGCAAGCGUUUAAUCGGAAUUACUGGGCGUAAAGCGUGCGUAGGCGGUUCGUUAAGUCUGUUGUGAAAGCCCCGGGCUCAACCUGGGAACGGCAAUGGAUACUGGCGAGCUAGAGUGUGUCAGAGGAUGGUGGAAUUCCCGGUGUAGCGGUGAAAUGCGUAGAGAUCGGGAGGAACAUCAGUGGCGAAGGCGGCCAUCUGGGACAACACUGACGCUGAGGCACGAAAGCGUGGGGAGCAACAGG
rnacentral:rRNA from 1 species